UACAGAGGGUGCGAGCGUUAAUCGGAAUUACUGGGCGUAAAGCGCACGUAGGUGGCGACGUAAGUCGGGUGUGAAAGCCCCGGGCUCAACCUGGGAAUUGCAUUCGAGACUGCAUUGCUGGAGUACGGAAGAGGAAGGCGGAAUUCCCGGUGUAGCGGUGAAAUGCGUAGAGAUCGGGAGGAACACCGGCGGCGAAGGCGGCUGCCUGGACCGGCCCUGACGCUGAGGCGCGAAAGCUAGGGGAGCAAACAGG
rnacentral:rRNA from 1 species